rnacentral:lncRNA from 1 species
GAAUAUGCUGCUGAACUCUUUUGAUAAUUAAAUUUUCUAUUUUGCAGGAAUACAAAUCAUAACAUACACAUCAUUUCAUAAGGUCCCAGCAGAAGAAAACCAUUAAUUGAUAUGGUUUAAAACAAAUUCCUAAUCUGAGAAUCAGGAAAUACCAAAAUAUGAAAUUCAACCUUUCCAACACUCACAAAAAAAUUAAGCCACAUACAAGUGAUAUACAAUUAAAGGAGAAGUAGAAAAUCAUAAAUCUAUAGCUACAUAAUUGUCAUAGAUUUACAAAUAGGACAUUCUUCAGAUUUUCUCUAAAUCGCAUCCAGAGAGUUAUGGUGGAAGAUUGACCUAUUGUUUCUUUGAUUUUAGUAGAGGUGUUAGUCUCUUUAAAGCUCAACAUGUUGAGAAAAAAAAAAAGAGAGUAAAUCCUCCUAUUGACCGACUGCUUUAAUUUGAGGAGGUAGUUAAAGUACUAACAUCUAUGUAACCUAAGCGAUAUGUGGUUGUGAGUUGAAGAAGUCUUUAAUGGUGUCCAAUUUCAUGGCAUUUGUGAGAAUCUUGAAUGUCUCGUGUGAAAUCAUCCCAAGCUCAUUUCUAGUUAAUAUGUUGUAGCUCUCAUGUAUUGAACUAAGACAUCUUCCACCUUUUUUCUUGCUUCUCGAUUUAAAGUGUCAAGCUCGAUUGAUAAUGGAGGUUCAAGAGGGAAGAAGAAGAGUUGUUUCUUACUUUUUUGGAGGAUCAGUUUCUAGAUCUUUCCUUUCUCACUGUUUUCUUUUUGUUUUAUCUUUUCUUUAACCCGACUUAUGGGGCUUUUGGGUCUGUCUUCCUUUAGACUUUGGGUAUGUUUGUACAGAAUGUUUUGCUCAAUAAAAUGGUCUCUUGGCCUUUUUGAAAAAUAGUUUCUGGUACUUCAAGAAGUACUUAUUUCCUCUCAAAAGCUUGGUC